UCGGGAAUUUUGGGCAAUGGGCGAAAGCCUGACCCAGCAACGCCGCGUGAAGGAUGAAGUAUUUCAGUAUGUAAACUUCGAAAGAAUAGGAAGAAUAAAUGACGGUACUAUUUAUAAGGUCCGGCUAACUACGUGCCAGCAGCCGCGGUAAUACGUAGGGACCAAGCGUUGUUCGGAUUUACUGGGCGUAAAGGGCGCGUAGGCGGCAAUUCAAGUCAUCUGUGAAAUCUCCGGGCUUAACUCGGGACGGUCAGAUGAUACUGCUUUGCUAGAGUGCAGAAGGGGCAAUCGGAAUUCUUGGUGUAGCGGUGAAAUGCGUAGAUAUCAAGAGGAACACCUGAGGUGAAGACGGGUUGCUGGGCUGACACUGACGCUGAGGCGCGAAAGCCAGGGGAGCAAACGGGAUUAGAUACCCAUGUAGUCCCUGAGCGGGCUGGCAAGGCGCAU
rnacentral:rRNA from 1 species